rnacentral:lncRNA from 1 species
GGGACAAAAAGAACAACACUCGAAACUAAUGGUAGAUGUGAAACUAACGGUAUACCUCAAGCUUUGAUUACCACUUGAUGAGAACAAGGGUGGCCCGAUCUUCCGAAAGGUUCCUGUAACUCUCGAUUUGGUGGAGACGAGGCACAAAUCGAUCCUCCUUCUGAACAACACGAUCCGAAGCCCUGUAAUUUUUUUAUUUUUUUGAUAUUUUUCUUUUACUUAGGAGCACCAAAGAAGUAACCACAGAAAAUUUGAGCUUAAACAAGUGAAAGACAUAGCCUGCGGAAUUUUCUGAAUAUUGUGAAAAAUGUGAAAAAACUUCACGAGGUGAAAACUCAAACUUCGAAGGCGAAUUUGGAGAUUAUAAAAUUUUCAAACCCACCAAUGGCGGGGACAGACAGAUCGAAAAAAUUUUCUGAUCGAUUUUUAUAUAUAGAACGUUGAAAUCGGAGUUAGUACGUGAAAGUUAUGGCUGUU